rnacentral:rRNA from 1 species
GAUGAACGCUGGCGGCGUGCCUAAUACAUGCAAGUCGAGCGAACGGACGAGAAGCUUGCUUCUCUGAUGUUAGCGGCGGACGGGUGAGUAACACGUGGAUAACCUACCUAUAAGACUGGGAUAACUUCGGGAAACCGGAGCUAAUACCGGAUAAUAUUUUGAACCGCAUGGUUCAAAAGUAAAAGACGGUCUUGCUGUCACUUAUAGAUGGAUCCGCGCUGCAUUAGCUAGUUGGUAAGGUAACGGCUUACCAAGGCAACGAUGCAUAGCCGACCUGAGAGGGUGAUCGGCCACACUGGAACUGAGACACGGUCCAGACUCCUACGGGAGGCAGCAGUAGGGAAUCUUCCGCAAUGGGCGAAAGCCUGACGGAGCAACGCCGCGUGAGUGAUGAAGGUCUUCGGAUCGUAAAACGCUGUUAUUAGGGAAGAACAUAUGUGUAAGUAACUGUGCACAUCUUGACGGUACCUAAUCAGAAAGCCACGGCUAACUACGUG